AUUGAACGCUGGCGGCAGGCCUAACACAUGCAAGUCGAGCGAGCGGCGGACGGGUGAGUAAUGUCUGUGAAACUGCCUGAGGGAGGGGGAUAACUACUGUAAACGGUAUCUAAUACCCCAUACCAUCAUAUAUGCCCCGAGGGGGAUAGCUGGUGGGUGGGGUAACGGCUCACCUAGGCGACGAUCCCUAGCUGGUCUGAGAGGAGGAGCAGCCACACUGGAACUGAGACACGGUCCAGACUCCUACGGGAGGCAGCAGUGGGGAAUAUUGCACAAUGGGCGAAAGUCUGACGCAGCCACGCCGCGUGUAUGAAGAAGGCCUUCGGGUUUUAAAGUACUUUCAGUCGGGAGGCGUUACCCGCAGAAGAAGCACCGGCUAACUCCGUGCCAGCAGCCGCGGUAAUUC
rnacentral:rRNA from 1 species